GGAAGUGUGGCUCAGUGGUAGAGUGCUUGCCUAGUAUGUGUGAGGCACUGGGUUCAAUUCUCAGCACCA
rnacentral:tRNA from 1 species